CAAACGAAAAGGCAAACUUAUCGAAAGAUAGGGGCGCAAAGCCAAGGGUCUAAGGUGAAAAACUAUGACAGCCGGUUACCGAA
rfam:Clostridium sp. CAG:411 genomic scaffold, scf277